UGCAAGUCGAGCGAUAAAGUUUCUUCGGAGAUGAUUAAAGCGGCGGACGGGUGAGUAACGCGUAGGAAUUUGCCUGAUAGUGGGGGAUAGCCCGGGGAAACCCGGAUUAAUACCGCAUAUUUUCUAAGGAAAAAAGGAAGCCUCUAUUUAUAUGCUUUCGCUAUCAGAUGAGCCUGCGUCGGAUUAGCUUGUUGGUGAGGUAAUGGCUCACCAAGGCGACGAUCCGUAGCUGGUCUGAGAGGAUGAUCAGCCACACUGGGACUGAGACACGGCCCAGACUCCUACGGGAGGCAGCAGUAGGGAAUAUUGAACAAUGGGGGAAACCCUGAUUCAGCCAUACCGCGUGUGUGAAGAAGGCCUUAGGGUUGUAAAGCACUUUCAGCAGUGAAAAAAAGUCGUAGGUUAAUAGCCUAUGGCCUUGAUGUUAACUGCACAAGAAGCACCGGCUAACUCCGUGCCAGCAGCCGCGGUAAUACGGAGGGUGCAAGCGUUGAUCGGAAUUACUGGGCGUAAAGCGCACGUAGGUGGCUGCGCAAGCUGGAUGUGAAAGCCCUGGGCUCAACCUAGGAACUGCAUUCAGAACUGCACAGCUUGAGUACAGUAGAGGGUAUUGGAAUUUCCGGUGUAGCGGUGAAAUGCGUAGAUAUCGGAAGGAACAUCAGUUGCGAAGGCGAAUACCUGGACUGAUACUGACACUGAGGUGCGAAAGCGUGGGUAGCAAACAGGAUUAGAUGCCCUGGUAGUCCACGCCGUAAACGAUGUCAACUAACCGUUGGUCUGACCAUUUAAUUGUUUUUAUACAAGAACAGUUAAAGAAUAAUUAAAUGGUCAGAUUAGUGGUGAAGCUAACGCGAUAAGUUGACCGCCUGGGGAGUACGGCCGCAAGGUUAAAACUCAAAUGAAUUGACGGGGACCCGCACAAGCGGUGGAGCAUGUGGUUUAAUUCGAUGCAACGCGAA
rnacentral:rRNA from 1 species